AACGAACGCUAGCGGCAGGCCUAACACAUGCAAGUCGUGCGCGACUCCGGGUGAGCGGCGGACGGGUGAGGAACGCGUGGGAACGUGCCCUUUAGUUCAGGAUAGCCCCGGGAAACUGGGAGUAAGACUGGAUACGCCCUUCGGGGGAAUAAAGGAUCGGCCCGCGUCUGAUUAGGUAGUUGGUGGGGUAAUGGCCUACCAAGCCUACGAUCAGUAGCUGGUUUUAGAGGAUGAUCAGCCACACUGGGACUGAGACACGGCCCAGACUCCUACGGGAGGCAGCAGUGGGGAAUCUUAGACAAUGGGCGAAAGCCUGAUCUAGCCAUGCCGCGUGAGUGAUGAAGGCCUUAGGGUCGUAAAGCUCUUUCGCCAGGGAUGAUAAUGACAGUACCUGGUAAAGAAACCCCGGCUAACUCCGUGCCAGCAGCCGCGGUAAUACGGAGGGGGUUAGCGUUGUUCGGAAUUACUGGGCGUAAAGCGCGCGUAGGCGGAUCAGAAAGUUAGGGGUGAAAUCCCGGGGCUCAACCCCGGAACUGCCUCUAAAACUCCUGGUCUUGAGUUCGAGAGAGGUGAGUGGAAUUCCGAGUGUAGAGGUGAAAUUCCGUAGAUAUUCGGAGGAACACCAGUGGCGAAGGCGGCUCACUGGCUCGAUACUGACGCUGAGG
rnacentral:rRNA from 1 species